rnacentral:lncRNA from 1 species
GUGGUUUUACUACGACGAGGGGUAGUUUUUACAAAGAGGUUACAAUAGGUUAGCGCGCCUGAAAGAAAGUACGUGCUUUUGGAAUCCUUACACUUUCGGAGAUAUGUUCAAAAACGUUCUAAGAUGAGGAAUUUCGUUGUACUGAGCUUGGAGAAAAAAGCAGAAAUCUCUUAUUAGCUAUACUUUUUUUUUUUUUUUAAGAUGCUGCUCUGUGGCAUCUUCCUUAUGCUUUGGAAGGGUUUUUUUCCCCUCCAUUGAGUUCCUGACUUUCUUUACAAGCUUCCAAGAGAAACUAGAAGGAUAUUUUCUGACAUCUGUUAAUCAUUUCUGCCUUGGUUCAUUAGGUCUCAACUUACUCCAGCACUACAGAUGAGAGAAAGCGACAGCUCCAGAGGCCUCUUGGGAUGGCAGGAUGGAUCUGACAAAGCAAGGUGUGACAGAAUGCCACAAGGUUGCAGCAACAGAAUCCUAGGAUCCAGUGACCAGAUAAAGUUUCAGGGACAACACAUCCAGUGUUAGUAUACCUCGAUGGAACAAGAUUCACAGACUCAUAAAUGCUUUUGUUCACUGUUGCUCUCAGCCGCUGAGCGCUCCUGUAGGACAUGGCAAAUAUAGGCUCUGCGUCAUAUUAUUGGCUUUCAUGGCACAAGUGUAGGAUUCCUCAUAGUGUUAAAGCCUUUCACAGUAAAUGUCUAUGCUAUAAAUUUUGAUGUGCUUCCCGGCUGAAUGGAUGCUUUCAGUGGAGACAGACUGGCUGGAGCUAAAGUGGUUAGCUUUGAUUUACCUCUUCUCUAUUAUUCAAUCCUAUUGAGAAUUUUGACUAGUGAUAUCAAGUCAUGUUGAUUGGCUUCAGUUUAUAGAUUGAAAUAAAAAAUUAUAUUUAACCUUGGUCA